rnacentral:tRNA from 1 species
GUCGGCCGGUCCGGGCUGCGGGGCACCGUACUGGUCCUGCGGGGCGCCGUACUGCUGCUGCGGCUGCUGGUACUGGUCCUGCGGCUGCUGC